rnacentral:rRNA from 1 species
AUACGGAGGAUGCGAGCGUUAUCCGGAUUUAUUGGGUUUAAAGGGAGCGCAGACGGGUCGUUAAGUCAGCUGUGAAAGUUUGGGGCUCAACCUUAAAAUUGCAGUUGAUACUGGCGUCCUUGAGUGCGGUUGAGGUGUGCGGAAUUCGUGGUGUAGCGGUGAAAUGCUUAGAUAUCACGAAGAACUCCGAUUGCGAAGGCAGCACACUAAGCCGUAACUGACGUUCAUGCUCGAAAGUGUGGGUAUCAAACAGGAUUAGAUACCCUGGUAGUCCACACGGUAAACGAUGGAUACUCGCUGUUGGCGAUAUACAGUCAGCGGCUUAGCGAAAGCGUUGAGUAUCCCACCUGGGGAGUACGCCGGCAACGGUGAAACUCAAAGGAAUUGACGGGGGCCCGCACAAGCGGAGGAACAUGUGGUUUAAUUCGAUGAUACGCGAGGAACCUUACCCGGGCUUAAAUUGCAAAGGAAUAAUCUGGAGACAGGUUAGUCUUCGGACCUUUGUGAAGGUGCUGCAUGGUUGUCGUCAGCUCGUGCCGUGAGGUGUCGGCUUAAGUGCCAUAACGAGCGCAGCCCUCGCCGCCAGUUACUAACAGUUAAAGCUGAGGACUCUGGCGGGACUGCCAUCGUAAGAUGUGAGGAAGGUGGGGAUGACGUCAAAUCAGCACGGCCCUUACGUCCGGGGCUACACACGUGUUACAAUGGGCGGUACAGAAGGCAGCUACCUGGCGACAGGAUGCCAAUCCCUAAAGCCGCUCUCAGUUCGGACUGGAGUCUGCAACCCGACUCCACGAAGCUGGAUUCGCUAGUAAUCGCGCAUCAGCCACGGCGCGGUGAAUACGUUCCCGGGCCUUGUACACACCGCCCGUCAAGCCAUGAAAGCCGGGGGUACCUGAAGUGCGUAACCGCAAGGAGCGCCCUAGGGUAAAACUGGUAAUUGGGGCU